GAUGAACGCUGACAGAAUGCUUAACACAUGCAAGUCUUUGGCGAAGCUGUGCUUGCACAGCCUAGCCAAGGCGGACGGGUGAGUAACGCGUCAGGAACUUGCCCUGCAGUCAGGGAUAACAGACGGAAACGACUGAUAAGACCUGGUAAAGUCAGGCGGACUCAUGUCCAGCCUGAUGAAAAGAGAUGCUACAGGAGAGCCUUGCGUCCUAUUAGCUUGUUGGUGGGGUAACGGCCCACCAAGGCGAUGAUAGGUAGCCGGCCUGAGAGGGUGGACGGCCACAAGGGGACUGAGAUGCGGCCCUUACGCCUACGGGAGGCAGCAGUGGGGAAUAUUGGACAAUGGGGGCAACCCUGAUCCAGCAAUUCUGUGUGCACGAUGAAGGUUUUCGGAUUGUAAAGUGCUUUCAGCAGGGAAGAAAAAAAUGACGGUACCUGCAGAAGAAGCGACGGCUAAAUACGUG
rnacentral:rRNA from 1 species